GGACCUUUAAGUUAUUUAAACUAUUAGACUUCAAAUCUUAAAAAGGAAAUUGUUUUUUCAGGGUUCG
rnacentral:tRNA from 1 species